GUUACAGUCGCCUAAGGGAUGGGCAUCAA
rnacentral:tRNA from 1 species